AUGCCUCAAGUCAAGUCUAGUAACAAGAACAAGAAAGAUUCUUCCUCUAGCAGUAACAAUGAUCAUGCUAAAUCCAAUAUUGUUGCUUCUAGUAGUUCUCUUGAUUCCACUAAUGAUUCUCUUAGCCAAGUUACACUUGAGCAAGAAAAUAGCUUAUUGAAGGGAAUUAUAGAGAAAGGAGUGUACAAAAGCCUUGCCGGGAGUAAGCAAUUCGAGGAAAUUGUGCGCAAGCAAGGAAUGCACCGGAAGAAUCAAGGUGUUGGUUUUGAACGAAAGUUCAAUGCCAAUGGAGUUGAGUGGGAAGAAGAUCAAUACCCCAAGACAAAGUUUGUUCCUCAACAAGAGAAGUAUGAUACUUCUUUCAAGGGGACACAAGCUCAAGAUGAUCCUCCACCACAAGACUACAAGCAAAAAGGCAAGGACAAGCUUCAAGAGGAAAUUGAUGCAUUUGAAGAAGCUCCUAAGACCUUAGUCAAGUGGAUUCCCAAGACUACUUCAAGUUCCACUUUAUCAAGUACGACUACAACUCCAAGGAUUCCCAUCAAGAUGGUGUGGAUCCAAAAGAAGAAGAACUAG
rnacentral:rRNA from 1 species